AGUGUUACGAACAAUUAGAACCAAUUGACAAUUGACAAAUAAUUUGAAAAAAUAAUUACAAAUCAUGAAUGACAUAGAAGCAUGUACAUCGUGGAACGGUAUUGGCUCCGAGAAAAUUGUUAUUUCUGGUAUUGCUGGCAGAUUUUCUGAUUCAGAUAACGUGAAUAUGUUACGAGAAAAUUUAUUUAAUAAAAUUGAUCUUGUUAAAGCAGAUCAUGAGCGAUGGAAACUAGGUAAUUAAUUAAUGUUUAUAUAGUUCUACAUUAUAGUUUUGCAUUUAUAUUUGAUUUGUAGAUCAAAUAUGCCACUUAUUCUGCAUUAGUUUGCUUAAAUUAAAGAUUGUAAGACUAAUAUUUAAACAUAUUAUUAAGUAUGAUCAAAAUUCGAUUUGACUUUAUUGACGUUUUCUCAUUUUACUUAUUUGAAACAUUCCACUUAAAUUAAUAAUUGUUUGUCUACACGUCGUCGUUGAAAGACGUUGUUCUUAAAUUUACUAGUUAUUACGAAAAAUAUUGUCACAUGUCUUGAUAAUAGAACAGUAAAACAUAUUACUAUCUGGAAAGUACUAGUAGGAAAGUAAGUUCAAAUCCUGAUUAAGAUAUAUUUUUAGUAAUAAGUUAUUUCACGGGAUUUAAAAGAUGCUUGUUAGCAUCAAUUUAUUAAAUUGCUUUGUAAAUUAUUAUUCAUUUAGUUAGGAGCUGUGUUUUAAGACCGACGAUUAGGGGAGAGUUACCGAAUGCGUACCACUUAAAAUAUU